CCAUUACUGUGACUUGUUGUCUGAAACAGUGACUGAAGAUGGCAUCUCCCGCCUGUAUGAAGCUUUUCAGGAAGUGCCUUUGACAUGUGACAGGACCACAGGGCACAUCCUCAAUAGACAUUACAAAUGGCUGCAGAAGCUUGGAAAUCUCGUGUCGGGUUCCGCAUUCGACUAGGGAACCGGGACCGACACAGAAGACCUCUUUGUCCUGCUAUGACAUCUAGAGGCUAACAGGAGCCAACCGAGCCCACCACUGAUCACAUCUCUUGGGAGACGGCAAAGCAACUGCUGCAUGGGAAGGAGGAGAGAGAAGAGGCAGAGCAGGAUGUGCCGGGGUGCACCAGUCACACAUAACCUCACAGUCUAGGCGGCGGAAGCCAAGCCCCUCCCCAGCCCUGCCGGACAUGCUACAACUGGAGCACCAGUGUGAAAGGGAGCAGCUCAGCUUGGUCUAGGCAGAUGCCGAAAAUGGAGGAUGCACAUUGUAGGCUCCAGUCCAGAAGCAGCUGAUGCCCCUGACUGCAGAGCCCCAAGGUGCCGAGACCCAACCCCAUCCCCGGGUGCCUGCAGACGUGCAAGGGAGCUCGGAGUCACUGGGAGAUUCCCACGCCGGGAGCCCAGAGACCCCCAGCCCAUGUCCUAGAGACAUCUCGUAGGAAGUAACCUGGGAGAACUAGCCAUCGCCAUGGUGACUGACGUCAGAUGUUCUGGCUGGAUCCCCACUGACUCAGUGCCGAACACAUUGGCCAUGGACAAGGCCCUGGGG